rnacentral:tRNA from 1 species
AAAAAGAUAAGCUAACUAAAGCUGAUAGGUUCAUACCCUUUUUAUAAAGAUACAUCUUUUCUUUUUA